rnacentral:rRNA from 1 species
GAUGAACGCUAGCGGCAGGCUUAAUACAUGCAAGUCGAGGGGCAGCAGGACUGUAGCAAUACAGUUGCUGGCGACCGGCAAACGGGUGCGGAACACGUACGCAAUCUACCCAAAACUGGUGAAUAGCCCUCCGAAAGGAGGAUUAAUACACCGUAACGUAAGGAAGUGGCAUCACUCUCUUACUAUAGCUCCGGCGGUUUUGGAUGAGCGUGCGCCUGAUUAGGUAGUGGUGCGGGUAACGGCCCACCAAGCCAGCGAUCAGUAACUGGUGUGAGAGCACGACCAGUCACACGGGCACUGAGACACGGGCCCGACUCCUACGGGAGGCAGCAGUAAGGAAUAUUGGUCAAUGGACGCAAGUCUGAACCAGCCAUGCCGCGUGAAGGAUGAAGGUCCUCUGGAUUGUAAGCUGUCUUUUAUACGAGAAGAAACACUCCUUCGUG